rnacentral:rRNA from 13 species
GAAGCUGAUAACUGAAGCCCUGGUGAACGGCUGCCGUAACGAUAACGGUCCUAAGGUAGCGAAAUUCCUUGGCGGGUAAGUUCCGUCCUGCACGAAUGGCGUAACGACUUCCCCACUGUCUCAACCAGGGACUCAGUGAAAUCGAAUUUGCGGUGAAGAUGCCGUAUUCCCGCGACAAGACGGAAAGACCCCGUGAACCUUUACUAUAGCUUGGCAGUGAUGUUCG